rnacentral:lncRNA from 1 species
AGGCGAUGUUUGUGGGUGGCGGCGUUGAUCGAAGUGGCAGCUUUGAUCGCGGAGGUUCCGUUCUGGUGUCUGGCAUCGUUGGGUUGUGUAGCAUCCCACAUGAUGGUCUACUGGUAGAACAUCUGUUUUGAACCGUUGAUCUGAUUGUAGUAUUAGAGAUGUAACAUGGACAAUUGGAUGAUAUUAAGUGGGUCAGAUCGGACGGUG